GUGAGUCAUCGAAUCUUUGAACGCAUAUUGCGCCCUUUGGUAUUCCGAAGGGCAUGCCUGUCCGAGCGUCAUUAUUAACCAUCAAGCUUGGCUUGCUGUUGGACCUUGCAAAUACCGUGGUCGGUGGUGGCAGGUCUUUAAGGUAGUGGCGGUGUCGUGAUGGACCCGAGGUACAGCGAGCUCUCCAUAGCACGUAUCUAGGUGGUCCGCCGGCCCGGCCGAAAUCUUGUCAUCUCGAGGUUGACCUCGGAUCAGGUAGGAGUACCCGCUGAACUUAAGCAUAUCAAUAAGCGGAGGA
rnacentral:misc_RNA from 1 species